CCUACGGGUGGCAGCAGUGGGGAAUAUUGGGCAAUGGGCGCAAGCCUGACCCAGCAACGCCGCGUGAAGGAAGAAGGCUUUCGGUUUGUAAACUUCUUUUCUGAGGGACGAAAGGAGUGACGGUACCUCACUAAUAAGCCACGGCUAACUACGUGCCAGCAGCCGCGGUAAUACGUAGGUGGCAAGCGUUAUCCGGAUUUAUUGGGUGUAAAGGGAGUGUAGGCGGGUAGGCAAGUCGGUGGUGAAAGGUCGGGGCCAAACCCGCGGCCUGCUUUGGAAACUGUAUAACUGGAGUGCAGGGGGGGUAAGUGGAAUUCGUGGGGUAGGGGUAAA
rnacentral:rRNA from 1 species